GACGAACGCUGGCGGCCUGCUUAACACAUGCAAGUCGAACGGUAAGGCCCUUCGGGGUACACGAGUGGCGAACGGGUGAGUAACACGUGGGUGAUCUGCCCUGCACUUCGGGAUAAGACUGGGAAACUGGGUCUAAUACCGGAUAGGACCCUGGGAUGCGUGUCCUGGGGGGGAAAGCUUUUGCGGGGUGGGAUGGGCCCGCGGCCGAUCAGCUUGUUGGUGGGGUGAUGGUCUACCAAGGCGACGACGGGUAGCCGGCCUGAGAGGGUGACCGGCCACACUGGGACUGAGAUACGGCCCAGACUCCUACGGGAGGCAGCAGUGGGGAAUAUUGCACAAUGGGCGCAAGCCUGAUGCAGCGACGCCGCGUGAGGGAUGACGGCCUUCGGGUUGUAAACCUCUUUCAGCACCGACGAAGCGCAAGUGACGGUAGGUGCAGAAGAAGGACCGGCCAACUACGUGCCAGCCGCCGCAGUAA
rnacentral:rRNA from 1 species